rnacentral:rRNA from 1 species
AUGGCUAAAGAUCAAUUGAGAUACUCUCAAAUCAUUGGUUCACUGAUGUACCUAGCGAGCGCAACGAGGCCUGACAUCGCGUUUGCUGUGAGCAAACUGAGCCGGUUUGUUUCCAAACCGGGUGAUGUACAUUGGCAUGCUGUUGAGAGAGUUAUGCGCUAUCUGAAAGGUACUAUGAACUAUGGACUUCACUAUACCGGAUACCCGUCGGUACUUGAAGGGUAUAGUGAUGCGAAUUGGAUCUCUGAUGCUGAUGAGAUGAAGGCCACAACUGGAUAUAUGUUUACUCUUGGAGGUGGCGCUGUUUCCUGGAAGUCUUGCAAGCAAACGAUCUUAACGAGAUCGACAAUGGAAGCAGAAUUAACGGCAUUAGACACAUCUGGUGUUGAAGCGAGAUGGCUUCGAGAUCUUUUGAUGGACUUGCCAUUGGUUGAUAAACCGGUUCCGGCUAUCCUUAUGAACUGUGACAAUCAGACUGUCAUCACCAAGGUGAAGAGUUCAAAGGACAACAUGAAGUCCACCAAACACAUAAGAAUGAGAUUAAAAGCUGUCAGAAAAUUAAGAAACUCCGGAGUGAUAGCGUUGGACUAUGUCCAUACGGCUAAGAAUCUAGCAGAUCCCUUUACAAAAGGGCUAUCACGUGUUGUGAUAGAUAAUGCAUCGAGGGAGAUGGGUAUGAGACCCACAUGA